GACACCGUGGCCGAGUCCGGUUUAAGGCGGUCGCUUGCUAAGCGUCUGGGUUCCACCCGCGUAGGUUCAAAUCCUACCGGUGUCG
rnacentral:tRNA from 1 species